rnacentral:misc_RNA from 1 species
AGGUGAACCUGCGGAAGGAUCAUUACAGAGUUCAUGCCCGAAAGGGCAGACCUCCCACCCUUGUGUAUUAUUACUUUGUUGCUUUGGCGAGCUGCCUCCGGGCCUUGUAUGCUCGCCAGAGAAUACCAAAACUCUUUUUAUUAAUGUCGUCUGAGUACUAUAUAAUAGUUAAAACUUUCAACAACGGAUCUCUUGGUUCUGG